UACGAAGGGGGCUAGCGUUGCUCGGAAUCACUGGGCGUAAAGCGCACGUAGGCGGCUUUUUAAGUCAGGGGUGAAAUCCUGGAGCUCAACUCCAGGACUGCCUUUGAUACUGAGAAGCUUGAGUCCGGGAGAGGUGAGUGGAACUGCGAGUGUAGAGGUGAAAUUCGUAGAUAUUCGCAAGAACACCAGUGGCGAAGGCGGCUCACUGGACCGUAACUGACGCUGAGACACGAAAGCGUGGGUAGCAAACAGG
rnacentral:rRNA from 1 species